GCCUGACGCGAAAAGCAUGAGAAUCGGGCGGAUUCAACUUCCAGUGUUUCAACGUGCUGGAUUUCUUGACUUUCGGCGCCUUUGGUCGUAUGAGCGCCGC
rnacentral:sRNA from 1 species